rnacentral:misc_RNA from 1 species
AAACCCUCAAGCCCAGCUUGGUGUUGGGUGCUUGUCCCGCCUCCCGCGCGGCGACUCACCUCAAAAUCAGUGGCAGCCUGCAUCCGCCGGCCGUGAGCGCAGCACAGUCGCGCCCUAGGCCCCGGCGGAUCGGCUCUCCAGAAGCCCCUUCUACCAC